rnacentral:rRNA from 1 species
UGGGGAAUAUUGCACAAUGGAGGGAACUCUGAUGCAGCGACGCCGCGUGAACGAAGUAGGCUUUCGAGUCGUAAAGUUCUUUUAUAUGGGAAGAUAAUGACGGUACCAUAAGAAAAAGCCCCGGCUAACUACGUGCCAUCAGCCGCGGUAAUACGUAGGGGGCUAGCUUUGUCCGGAAUCACUGGGGGUAAAGGGUUCGCAGGCGGAAAUGCAAGUCAGAUGUAAAAGGCAGUAGCUUAACUACUGUAAGCAUUUGAAACUGCAUAUGUGGAGAAGAGUAGAGGUAAGUGGAAUUUUUGGGGUAGCGGUGAAAUGCGUAGAUAAUAAAAAGAAUACCGGUGGCGAAGGGGACUUACGGGGCUCAUUAUGAAGCUGAGGAACGAAAGAGUGGGUAGCAAACAGG